CUCCAUAUUCCAUUCCUCGGGGAAUGACAUGUUAUCGGCUGCAAUUAUGUUGGAAGUCCUCACUCGGACAAACCAACCCAUCCAUCCUAGGUCCUUUUCUUCAUCUAUGCUUGAGAACAACACCUUCGUAGCUUGGCGAUGAAAUCUUAUUAGUCCACCUUAAUAGAGAUGGGAGUUGUAUAGUCUAGUGAGAUGGUCGAGGUUGAAAGACAUCCCUUCGACCUUGCUCACAAAGAAUCGAAAUAAAAUAACUAUGCGCCAAAAAGGGUGGAUUUGGCCUAGGUUUAUUCGGUAUUGACGGCAGAAAUCAAUGAUCACGGGAUCGAUGGGAC
rnacentral:lncRNA from 1 species